rnacentral:rRNA from 1 species
UUCCGUAGGUGAACCUGCGGAAGGAUCAUUAAAAAAGGAUGUCACUUGUGGCAUACCCCAUCCGUGUCUAUAUACUCUUGUUGCUUUGGCAGGCCGUGGUCUUGACCCUGUGGGCUUUAUGCCUGCAGUGCCUGCCAGAGGACCAAACUCUGAAUUUUGUGAUGUCUGAGUACUAUAUAAUAGUUAAAACUUUCAACAACGGAUCUCUUGGUUCUGGCAUCGAUGAAGAACGCAGCGAAAUGCGAUAAGUAAUGUGAAUUGCAGAAUUCAGUGAAUCAUCGAAUCUUUGAACGCACAUUGCGCCCAGUGGUAUUCCGCUGGGCAUGCCUGUUCGAGCGUCUUUAAAACACACGCCUUUGCGUGGUAUUGGGAGCUGCGGUUCGCUGCAGCCCCUAAAAAUCAAUAGYGAUACCCACUGGUCCUACGCGUAGUACAAUACCCCGCUUAAGGAACGUGGCUCUUUCAGCCCUAAAAUUAGGAGUCUCGGGUAACCGGACGCCUAGUACGUAGUUUGACCUCGGAUCAGGUAGGGAUACCCGCUGAAC